rnacentral:piRNA from 1 species
UGACACAGUGUCCAGCCACAUCUCUUGAUGA